UACAGAGGGGGCAAGCGUUGUUCGGAAUUACUGGGCGUAAAGGGCGCGUAGGUGGCCUUCUAAGUUGAACGUGAAAUCCCUGGGCUCAACCCAGGAACUGCGUCCAAGACUGGGAGGCUUGAAUCCGGGAGAGGGAUGCGGAAUUCCAGGUGUAGCGGUGAAAUGCGCAGAUAUCAGGAGGAACACCGGUUGCGAAGGCGGGUCUCUGGGCCGAUACUGACGCUGAGGAGCGAAAGCGUGGGGAGCGAACAGG
rnacentral:rRNA from 1 species